rnacentral:rRNA from 1 species
AUUGAACGCUGGCGGCAGGCCUAACACAUGCAAGUCGAAAGAGUGGCGGACGGGUGAGUAAUGUCUGGGAAACUGCCUGAUGGAGGGGGAUAACUACUGGAAACGGUAGCUAAUACCGCAUACCAUCGGAUGUGCCCAGAUGGGAUUAGCUAGUAGGUGGGGUAAAGGCUCACCUAGGCGACGAUCCCUAGCUGGUCUGAGAGGAUUGACAGCCAAACUGGAACGUGGACCAGGGCCAGGAUCCUACGGGAGGGAGGAGGGGGGAAAAUUGAAACAAGGGCGCAAGCCUGAUGCAGCCAUGCCGCGUGUAUGAAGAAGGCCUUCGGGUUGUAAAGUACUUUCAGCGGGGAGGCGUUACCCGCAGAAGAAGCACCGGCUAACUCCGUGCCAGCAGCCGCGGUAAUUC